GACGAACGCUGGCGGCGUGCCUAAUACAUGCAAGUAGAACGCUGAAGAGAGGAGCUUGCUCUUCUUGGAUGAGUUGCGAACGGGUGAGUAACGCGUAGGUAACCUGCCUGGUAGCGGGGGAUAACUAUUGGAAACGAUAGCUAAUACCGCAUAAAAUUGAUUAUUGCAUGAUAAUUAAUUGAAAGAUGCAAUUGCAUCACUACCAGAUGGACCUGCGUUGUAUUAGCUAGUUGGUGAGGUAACGGCUCACCAAGGCGACGAUACAUAGCCGACCUGAGAGGGUGAUCGGCCACACUGGGACUGAGACACGGCCCAGACUCCUACGGGAGGCAGCAGUAGGGAAUCUUCGGCAAUGGGGGGAACCCUGACCGAGCAACGCCGCGUGAGUGAAGAAGGUUUUCGGAUCGUAAAGCUCUGUUGUAAGAGAAGAACGGGUGUGAGAGUGGAAAGUUCACACUGUGACGGUAUCUUACCAGAAAGGGACGGCUAACUACGUGCCAGCAGCCGCGGUAAUACGUAGGUCCCGAGCGUUGUCCGGAUUUAUUGGGCGUAAAGCGAGCGCAGGCGGUUAGAUAAGUCUGAAGUUAAAGGCUGUGGCUUAACCAUAGUAUGCUUUGGAAACUGUUUAACUUGAGUGCAGAAGGGGAGAGUGGAAUUCCAUGUGUAGCGGUGAAAUGCGUAGAUAUAUGGGGGAACACCGGUGGCGAAAGCGGCUCUCUGGUCUGUAACUGACGCUGAGGCUCGAAAGCGUGGGGAGCAAACAGGAUUAGAUACCCUGGUAGUCCACGCCGUAAACGAUGAGUGCUAGGUGUUAGGCCCUUUCCGGGGCUUAGUGCCGCAGCUAACGCAUUAAGCACUCCGCCUGGGGAGUACGACCGCAAGGUUGAAACUCAAAGGAAUUGACGGGGGCCCGCACAAGCGGUGGAGCACGUGGUUUAAUUCGAAGCAACGCGAAGAACCUUACCAGGUCUUGACAUCCCUCUGACCGCUCUAGAGAUAGAGUUUUCCUUCGGGACAGAGGUGACAGGUGGUGCAUGGUUGUCGUCAGCUCGUGUCGUGAGAUGUUGGGUUAAGUCCCGCAACGAGCGCAACCCCUAUUGUUAGUUGCCAUCAUUGAGUUGGGCACUCUAGCGAGACUGCCGGUAAUAAACCGGAGGAAGGUGGGGAUGACGUCAAAUCAUCAUGCCCCUUAUGACCUGGGCUACACACGUGCUACAAUGGCUGGUACAACGAGUCGCAAGCCGGUGACGGCAAGCUAAUCUCUGAAAGCCAGUCUCAGUUCGGAUUGUAGGCUGCAACUCGCCUACAUGAAGUCGGAAUCGCUAGUAAUCGCGGAUCAGCACGCCGCGGUGAAUACGUUCCCGGGCCU
rnacentral:rRNA from 1 species